UCUUGACUAGUAUAUCGGUUAGUACACGCGCUUGUCAUUUUAAUGCUGUACCGCGCGAAAGCUGGGUUCGACUCCCAGGUCGAGAG